UGAAAAGAUGGACAUAGAUACUAACUA
rnacentral:sRNA from 1 species